AAAUGUAAGCGGAGAUGCCACAGGCGGGUGGGAUUUAUGCUCGUUGAAAGUGUCCCGUUUUGAACUCGUGAACAGCGCUUUGAACGCUCGCGGAAAUGUCCCUUCUGUGCGUCCGAGUUAAGAAAGCAAAGCUUGAAGGACCUCCAGAUAAGUUCAAUGUCUACGUGACAUUAAAAGUGCAGAAUGUUAAGAGCAC